GAUUAGAUACCCUGGUAGUCCACGCCGUAAACGAUGUCGACUUGGAGGUUGUUCCCUUGAGGAGUGGCUUCCGGAGCUAACGCGUUAAGUCGACCGCCUGGGGAGUACGGCCGCAAGGUUAAAACUCAAAUGAAUUGACGGGGGCCCGCACAAGCGGUGGAGCAUGUGGUUUAAUUCGAUGCAACGCGAAGAACCUUACCUACUCUUGACAUCCACGGAAUUUGGCAGAGAUGCCUUAGUGCCUUCGGGAACCGUGAGACAGGUGCUGCAUGGCUGUCGUCAGCUCGUGUUGUGAAAUGUUGGGUUAAGUCCCGCAACGAGCGCAACCCUUAUCCUUUGUUGCCAGCGAUUCGGUCGGGAACUCAAAGGAGACUGCCGGUGAUAAACCGGAGGAAGGUGGGGAUGACGUCAAGUCAUCAUGGCCCUUACGAGUAGGGCUACACACGUGCUACAAUGGCGCAUACAAAGAGAAGCGACCUCGCGAGAGCAAGCGGACCUCACAAAGUGCGUCGUAGUCCGGAUCGGAGUCUGCAACUCGACUCCGUGAAGUCGGAAUCGCUAGUAAUCGUGGAUCAGAAUGCCACGGUGAAUACGUUCCCGGGCCUUGUACACACCGCCCGUCACACCAUGGGAGUGGGUUGCAAAAGAAGUAGGUAGCUUAACCUUCGGGAGGGCGCUUACCACUUUGUGAUUCAUGACUGGGGUGAAGUCGUAACAAGG
rnacentral:rRNA from 1 species